rnacentral:rRNA from 1 species
CUCUUGGUUCUGGCAUCGAUGAAGAACGCAGCGAAAUGCGAUAAGUAAUGUGAAUUGCAGAAUUCAGUGAAUCAUCGAAUCUUUGAACGCACAUUGCGCCCCUUGGUAUUCCGGGGGGCAUGCCUGUUCGAGCGUCAUUACAACCCUCAAGCUCUGCUU